rnacentral:rRNA from 1 species
UAAGGAAUAUUGGUCAAUGGACGCAAGUCUGAACCAGCCAUGCCGCGUGAAGGAUGAAGGUCCUCUGGAUUGUAAACUUCUUUUAUCUGGGACGAAAACGGGAUUUUUAUCUCAAUUGACGGUACCAGAGGAAUAAGCACCGGCUAACUCCGUGCCAGCAGCCGCGGUAAUACGGAGGGUGCGAGCGUUAUCCGAAUUUACUGGGUUUAAAGGGUGCGUAGGUGGGCUUAUAAGUCAGUGGUGAAAUCUCCGAGCUUAACUUGGAAACUGCCGUUGAUACUAUAGGUCUUGAAUUAUCUGGAGGUAAGCGGAAUAUGUCAUGUAGCGGUGAAAUGCUUAGAUAUGACAUAGAACACCAAUUGCGAAGGCAGCUUACUACAUAUAAAUUGACGCUGAGGCACGAAAGCGUGGGGAUCAAACA